ACCUCAAAUCAGGUAGGACUACCCCGCUGAACUUAAGCAUAUCAAUAAGCGGAGGAAAAGAAACUAACAAGGAUUCCCCUAGUAACUGCGAGUGAAGCGGGAAAGCUCAAAUUUAAAAUCUGGCAGUCUUUGGCUGUCCGAGUUGUAAUCUAGAGAAGUGCUAUCCGCGCUGGACCGUGUACAAGUCUCCUGGAAUGGAGCGUCGUAGAGGGUGAGAAUCCCGUCUUUGACACGGACUGCCAGGGCUUUGUGAUGCGCUCUCAAAGAGUCGGGUUGUUUGGGAAUGCAGCUCAAAAUGGGUGGUAAAUUCCAUCUAAAGCUAAAUAUUGGCGAGAGACCGAUAGCGAACAAGUACCGUGAGGGAAAGAUGAAAAGAACUUUGGAAAGAGAGUUAAACAGUACGUGAAAUUGCUGAAAGGGAAACGCUUGAAGUCAGUCGCGUUGUCCAGGGAUCAACCUUGCUUUUGCUUGGUGCACUUUCUGGUUGACGGGUCAGCAUCAAUUUUGACUAUUGGAAAAAGAUUAGGGGAAUGUGACAUCUUUGGAUGUGUUAUAGCCCUUGGUUGCAUACAAUGGUUGGGAUUGAGGAACUCAGCAUGCCGCAAGGCCGGGUUUUCGAACCACGUACGUGCUUAGGAUGCUGGCAUAAUGGCUUUAAUCGACCCU
rnacentral:rRNA from 1 species